ACCAUCAGUGAGGAUGAUCAGAUUAUGCACAUUUUAUCUGGGCUUGGUGCAGAAUAUGACUCCGUCAUGGUCACUAUUACUUCCAAACCUGAAGUUUGGACUCUUGGAGAUGUGAGUUCCCUUCUUUUGAGCUUUGAAA